AGCGAUAGAGGGAUCGUCCCCGUAAAAGAGUGACGCUGCUUAUACUAUGCCGCUCACUUCCAGCCUCGCUCUUUUCCUCCCCUCCGCCCUAGCCCUCCCGCCGCCGGACCCCCGGCACUUAUAGCUAGAUCCUCUCCUACCCGUCGGAGUGGCCCGGCGAAGAUGUGGAAUUUCCAAAUCUUAUUGGAUGGUGGUGGUGUCACUCUGGGGGGAGGCGGGACCCCCAGCGGCGAAGGCCGCCCCUCUCGGACGGUGAUUGGACUCGCCUGAGUAGACCGGGCUGGGAUUGGUGCGAGGAGGGGCCAGAGCCAUCGGGCACCUUGAGCCGAGGUGUCGGGGAGGCGGCGGCCGCCGAGAAGCCGGCGGCCGCCGAGAAGCCGGCCGGACUCGCAGCUCCUUUGCCCGCCGUGUGCGGUCCGCUAAGGGCCGGGUCGAGGGAAGGAGCGGGAGCCCCCCCUCCCCACCUCAUCACGCGGGGGCGGGGGAGGCGCUUGUCGCGUGUCGGGCGCAGGACCCUUGGGGCCGGAGGGGGGGCCGGGACGCGGGAGGGGGGCGGGUAGUGGAGGAAGUGAGAGGUGCAGGGGUCCAGGAGUUGGCAUCAGGACCAGCUCAGGAUUUAGACCUGGAAGCGCUUCCGGGGCGGAGGACUUGGGGGGCAGAGGAGGGCGUAGGUGCGUCUGGUAUGGGAUGCCAUGGAAAGGAGGGGGCCCUCCUAAAUAGAUCCGUGGGUGGUUCCUUUGACUCUUCUAUCAUUUUGCCCUUUGCUUUGCCGAAGAGAGAGUCCCCAUGGUCUCUGCUCAAAUUCUGGAAACUUUCUCUUUGGGUGGGCUUAAUCACCUACUACUUUAUUAUAGAACUACCCAGAGCCUUUCCUGAUACUGGGCACAAACGUGGGGAAUAUGUCAGAAAACAGGAAGCCGCUGCUGGGUUUCGUGGGCAAACUCCCCAGUGGGACUGCACUUGGGAACUCAGGCAAGACUCACUGCCCUUUGUGCAUGGGGCUUUUCAAAGCCCCCAGGCUCUUGCCUUGUUUGCACACAGUUUGCACCACGUGUCUGGAGCAGCUGGAACCCUACUCGGUAGUGGACAUCCGAGGGGGCGACUCUGACACAAGCUCUGAGGGUUCAAUAUUCCAGGAACUCAAGCCACCCAGUCUGCAGCCCCAGAUCGGCAUCCUCUGUCCGGUAUGUGACACUCAGGUGGACCUGCCCAUGGGUGGAGUGAAGGCUUUAACCAUAGACCACCUGGCCAUGAAUGACGUGAUGCUGGAGAGUCUUCGUGGGGAAGGCCAGGGCCUGGUGUGUGACCUGUGCAGCGACAGGGAAGUGGAGAAGAGAUGUCAGACCUGCAGAGCCAACCUCUGCCACUUCUGCUGCCAGGCUCAUAGGCGGCAGAAGAAAACAACUUACCACACGGUGGUGGACCUAAAAGACUUGAAAGGCUACAGCAGGAUCGGGAAGCCCAUUCUGUGUCCCGUGCACCCUGCAGAGGAGCUGAGACUGUUCUGUGAGCUCUGUGACCGGCCCGUGUGCCGGGACUGCGUGGUGGGCGAGCACCGGGAGCACCCCUACGACUUCGCCAGCAACGUUAUCCACAAGCACGGGGACUCCGUGCGGGAGCUUCUCAGAGGCACCCAGCCCCACGUGGAGGCCCUGGAGGAAGCCCUGGCACAGAUCACAGAGAUGAACAGUGCCCUCCAGAAGCGAGUGGAGGCUGUGGCAGCUGACGUGCGAACGUUCUCCGAGGGUUACGUCAAGGCCAUUGAGGAGCACCGGGACAGGCUGCUGAAGCAGCUGGAAGACAUCCGGGUCCAGAAGGAAAACUCCCUGCAGCUGCAGAAGGCACAGCUCGAGCAGCUGCUGGCGGACAUGCGGACGGGCGUGGAGUUCACUGAGCACCUGCUGACCAGUGGCUCGGACUUAGAGAUCCUCAUCACCAAGGGGGUGGUAGUGGAACGGCUCACGAAGCUGAACAAAGUCGAAUAUAGUGCCCAUCCUGGAGUAAACGAUAAGAUACGCUUCUGUCCUCAGCAGAGAGCAGGUCGGUGCCGUGGCUAUGAAGUUUAUGGGACCAUCAAUACGAAAGAGGUCGAUCCAGCUAAAUGUGUCCUUCAAGGAGAAGAUCUGCACAGAGCCCGGGAGAAACAGACAGCCUCUUUCACCCUGCUUUGUAAGGAUGCAGCAGGAGAGAGCAUGGGCAGGGGAGGAGACAGCGUGCACGUCGCUGUAGUCCCCAAAGAUAAGAAAGACAGUCCGGUCAGAACGCUGGUACAAGAUAACAAGGAUGGGACGUACUAUGUCUCCUAUACUCCCAAGGAGCCUGGCAUCUAUACCGUGUUGGUCUGCGUCAAAGAGCAGCAUGUGCAGGGCUCACAGAUAGGAGCUACAUCGGAGCCGUAAAUCCUAAGGUGUUCACUAUAUUCUCAUCCUUUUCUGGGAAGAUUCCCCUCCAUGCUCUCUAACCCACAUCUGAUCUUCCCAGAAGACAGCGAUGGCCCCAUGACCCUCAUGAAGUGUUAGCGACUUGCUUUUCCUCACUCCUUCCAACUGCUCCAACCAGAGCUCAGGUUUCUGCUCCUGUGUCAAACAUCGCAUCGGAGCAGUCUCUAGCUACCUUGGAUAAGAUAGCAUCUCCCCACCCCAGGACUCUGUAUCACCCUUAUUCGGCUUCCUCACCACCUCACACACAUACUCUACUUGUUUAAUGUCUGUUCUCUCAUAUGACACUCGGCUCUGUGAAGACAGCGACUUGACAUUAUCGAUUAUAUUGUCCCCAUGUAGGACAGUUCCUGGCACACAGGAGAGGCUUAAUCAUUUUGUUGAAUAAAUAAAGGUAUCAUUUGGUACACGUU